AUCGUACGAAAAUGAACUUAGCAAUAAGUUUAUUUUAGUGGCAAACGGGUGCGUAACACGUGAAUUAUUUCCCAUCAAGUUUGGAAUAAUCUAGGGAAACUUAGUGUAAUACCAAAUAGCAUUUGAAAAAAUUAAAAAGGAAACUUGCUUGAUGAUAAGUUCGCGGCCUAUCAGCUAGUUGGUGAGGUAAAAGCUCACCAAGGCAACAACGGGUAGCUGGUCUGAGAGGAUGGCCAGCCACACUGGAACUGAGACACGGUCCAGACACCUACGGGUGGCAGCAGUCGAGAAUCUUUCACAAUGGGGGAAACCCUGAUGGAGCGACGCCGCGUGGAGGAUACAGUCUUCGGAUUUUAAACUCCUGUCAUGCAAGAGCAAGGCUGUCAAAAGCUUGAUAGUAUUGCAAGAGGAAGAGGCGGCAAACUCUGUGCCAGCAGCCGCGGUAAUACAGAGGCCUCAAGCGUUGUUCGGAAUCACUGGGCGUAAAGGGUGCGUAGGCGGUUUGAUAAGUCAAUUUGUUAAAAUCAUGCGCUCAACGCAUGAAUGCAUUUGACACUAUUAGACUUGAGAUAUUUAGGGGAGACGGGAAUUCACGGUGUAGCAGUGAAAUGCGUAGAUAUCGUGAGGAACACCAAAGGCGUAGGCACGUCUCUACGAAUUUUCUGACGCUGAGGCACGAAGGCUAGGGUAGCAAAUGGGAUUAGAUACUCCGGUAGCCCUAGCAGUAAACGGUGCAUGCUUGGUGUAUGAAUAUUAGACUAUUUAUGUGCCGGAGUUAACACGUUAAGCAUGCCGCCUGGGAAGUACGGUCGCAAGACUAAAACUCAAAGAAAUUGACGGGGACCCGCACAAGCGGUGGAGUAUGUGGCUUAAUUCGAUGCAACGCGAUGAACCUUACCUGGAUUUGACAUCUGAAUUAUUUUUGAUGGAAAUAUCAAAAAGAAUAGAAAUAUUCAAUUUAGACCGGUGCUGCAUGGCUGUCGUCAGCUCGUGUCGUGAGAUGUUGGGUUAAGUCCCGCAACGAGCGCAACCCUUGUUUUUUGUUGCUAUCAACUCAAUGUUGAGCACUCGAAAAAGACUGCCUAGAUCAACUAGGAGGAAGGUGAGGAUGACGUCAAGUCAGUAUGGCCCUUACAUCCAGGGCUGCACACGUACUACAGUGCUGAGCACAAAGCGAUCCUAAUUUGCGAAAAUGAGGCAAUCGUAAAAACUCAGCUAAGUUCAGAUUAGAGGCUGCAACUCGCCUCUAUGAAGUUGGAAUCGCUAGUAAUGGCGCAUCAGCUACGGUGCCGUGAAUACGUUCCCGGGUCUUGUACACACCGCCCGUCACAUCAUGGAAGCUGUUUCCGUUUGAUAUGGAUUUGCAAAACGAAAGAUUGCGUCUAUUAAAAUGGUGAUGGUGACUGGGAUGAAGUCGAAACAAGGU
rnacentral:rRNA from 1 species